rnacentral:rRNA from 1 species
AUUGAACGCUGGCGGCAGGCCUAACACAUGCAAGUCGAACGAGUGGCGGACGGGUGAGUAAUGUCUGGGAAACUGCCCGCUGGAGGGGGAUAACUACUGGAAACGGUAGCUAAUACCGCAUACCAUCGGAUGUGCCCAGAUGGGAUUAGCUAGUAGGUGGGGUAACGGCUCACCAAGGCGACGAUCCGUAGCUGGUUUGAGAGGACGACCAGCCACACGGGAACUGAGAGACGGCCCAUACGCCUACGGGGGGCAGCAGUGGGGAAGUUUGGACAAUGGGGGAAACCCUGAGACAGCCAUCCCGGGUGUGCGAAGAAGGCCUUCGGGUUGUAAAGCACUUUUAGCAGGAAAGCGGUACUUGCAGAAGAAGCACCGGCUAACUACGUGCCAGCAGCCGCGGUAAUUC